UACGUAGGGGGCAAGCGUUAUCCGGAUUUACUGGGUGUAAAGGGAGCGUAGACGGCGAUGCAAGCCAGAUGUGAAAGCCCGGGGCUCAACCCCGGGACUGCAUUUGGAACUGUAUAGCUAGAGUGUCGGAGAGGCAGGCGGAAUUCCUAGUGUAGCGGUGAAAUGCGUAGAUAUUAGGAGGAACACCAGUGGCGAAGGCGGCUCUCUGGUCUGCAACUGACGCUGAGGCUCGAAAGCAUGGGUAGCGAACAGG
rnacentral:rRNA from 1 species